rnacentral:rRNA from 1 species
UACAUGGGGUGCAAACGUUGCUCGGAAUUAUUGGGCGUAAAGCGCACGUAGGCGGUUUGUUAAGUCGGAUGUGAAAUCCCUCGGCUCAACUGAGGAAGUGCAUCCGAAACUGGCAAGCUUGAGUACGAAAGAGGGUCGCGGAAUUCCCGGUGUAGAGGUGAAAUUCGUAGAUAUCGGGAGGAACACCGGUGGCGAAGGCGGCGACCUGGGUCGAUACUGACACUGAGGUGCGAAAGCGCGGGGAGCAAAAGGG